GACGAACGCUGGCGGCGUGCCUAAUACAUGCAAGUUGAGCGCUGAAGGUUGGUACUUGUACCAACUGGAUGAGCAGCGAACGGGUGAGUAACGCGUGGGGAAUCUGCCUUUGAGCGGGGGACAACAUUUGGAAACGAAUGCUAAUACCGCAUAAAAACUUUAAACACAAGUUUUAAGUUUGAAAGAUGCAAUUGCAUCACUCAAAGAUGAUCCCGCGUUGUAUUAGCUAGUUGGUGAGGUAAAGGCUCACCAAGGCGAUGAUACAUAGCAGACCUGAGAGGGUGAUCGGCCACAUUGGGACUGAGACACGGCCCAAACUCCUACGGGAGGCAGCAGUAGGGAAUCUUCGGCAAUGGACGAAAGUCUGACCGAGCAACGCCGCGUGAGUGAAGAAGGUUUUCGGAUCGUAAAACUCUGUUGGUAGAGAAGAACGUUGGUGAGAGUGGAAAGCUCAUCAAGUGACGGUAACUACCCAGAAAGGGACGGCUAACUACGUG
rnacentral:rRNA from 1 species